rnacentral:rRNA from 1 species
AAAACGAACGUUGGGGGCGUGGAUUAGGCAUGCAAGUCGAACGAGAAAGCUUCCUUCGGGAAGUGAGUACAGUGGCGAACGGGUGAGUAACGCGUGGGAAACCUGCCUUUCAGUGGGGGAAAACACUCCUAACGGGGUGCUAAUACCGCAUACGACCUCUGGGGCUCCUGCCCUUGAGAUGAAAGACGGCCUCUGAUUUAAGCUGUCGCUGAAAGAUGGUCCCGCGUCCGAUUAGCUAGUUGGUGGGGUAAUGGCUCACCAAGGCGACGAUCGGUAGCCGGCCUGAGAGGGUGUCCGGCCACACUGGGACUGAGAUACGGCCCAGACUCCUACGGGAGGCAGCAGUCGAGAAGCUUCGGCAAUGGGCGAAAGCCUGACCGAGCGACGCCGCGUGUGCGAUGAAGGCCCUAGCGGUCGUAAAGCACUGUCAGGAGGGAAUAAAUACAGGCGGUUAAUACCCGUCUGUGCUGAAGGUACCUCCAGAGGAAGCACCGGCUAACUACGUGCCAGCAGCCGCGGUAAUACGUAGGGUGCAAACGUUGUUCGGAUUCACUGGGUAUAAAGGGUUCGUAGGCGGGCUGAUAAGUCAGAGGUGAAAGCCAACGGCUCAACCGUUGAAUUGCCUCUGAUACUGUCAGUCUUGAGUCCGUCAGGGGAUGGUGGAAUUCCUGGUGUAGCGGUGAAAUGCGUAAAUAUCAGGAGGAACACCGGUGGCGAAGGCGGCCAUCUGGGACGGUACUGACGCUGAGGAACGAAAGCAUGGGUAUCAAACGGGAUUAGAUACCCCGGUAGUCCAUGCUGUAAACGAUGGGCACUAGGUGUUGGAGGAGUCUACCC